CGGGUGAGUAACGCGUGGGUAACCUACCUUUCAGUCGGGGGAUAACUAUUGGAAACGAUAGCUAAUACCGCAUAACAAUGUUGGAUGCAUAUUCGACAUUUGAAAGUACCAAUUGGUACACUGAGAGAUGGACCCGCGUUGUAUUAGCUAGUUGGUAGUGUAAUGGACUACCAAGGCGAUGAUACAUAGCCGACCUGAGAGGGUGAUCGGCCACAUUGGGACUGAGACACGGCCCAAACUCCUACGGGAGGCAGCAG
rnacentral:rRNA from 1 species